CCAAAACAUAGCUGUCGGGUCGCGAGGCCCUGACGCUUCAACCCUUUGUGAACCAAAAACCCUUUCGCUUCGGCAGCUGUCGGGCCGGGAUUCCGACCCGCUUAAGCCUGCCGCUGGCACCCAUUUUAAAAACUUGCUCAGAAAACUCUGUCUGAUAACCAAAUUUUCGAAUGAAAAUCA
rnacentral:misc_RNA from 1 species